rnacentral:rRNA from 1 species
CACGUAGGGGGCGAGCGUUGUCCGGAUUUAUUGGGCGUAAAGAGCUCGUAGGCGGUUUCGUAAGUCGGAUGUGAAAACUCCAGCUCAACUUGGAGACGCCAUUCGAUACUGCGAUGACUUGAGUCCGGUAGGGGAGUGUGGAAUUCCUGGUGUAGCGGUGAAAUGCGCAGAUAUCAGGAGGAACACCGGCGGCGAAGGCGGCACUCUGGGCCGGUACUGACGCUGAGACGCGAAAGCGUGGGGAGCGAACAGG